AUCCUUCAGUUCAUGAGCGUGAUGAUUGGGUGUUCAUGCCUUAGGCAUGAAAUGUGCCUCCCUCAAACCUUGCUACGACUUGGGCACAUUACCCAUCUGAAG